rnacentral:piRNA from 1 species
UGGUUUUGAAUCCCACCAAGUUGAUAGC